GAGUAGCCCUGACUAUCCUAGAACUCAUUCUAUAGAGCAUUUUGGCUUUGAACUCAGAGAUUCCUUUGCUUGUGCCACUGGAGUGCUGGGAUUAAAGGCAUAUAACACUACCACCUGGCACUUUCUGUUUUGGUUUAAAAUUUGUUUUCUUAAAAUAUGAUUUUGUAAAGAAAGGUAAUAAGGAGAAUAGAAUUAACUCUAGAAGUAAACCUUUACAGUCAACUAGUUGAAACAGUUACUUUUGGUAAAAUAAGGAAUAGUUAUAAAUUCUUUCAUUUAGAAGUAAUACAGAUAGGAUUUGAGAAAUGGUGUAGUGGAUAAAGUUUGCCCUGCAAACUUGAAGGUCUGACAGAUGAGGUGGCUAACAGAAAUUCCAGUAUUAGGGAGGCAGAGACAGUAUCUCCAGGACAGGUUGGCUAGUAAACCAAUCAGCAAACUCGGUGUUCAGCUAGGAUCUGUCUCAAUAAUAAAAUGGAGCAUGAUAGAGGAAGACACCAGUCUCAACUGUGGGGCUACACAUACAUGUGCACAACAUCUGCACAUGCACAUAUAUAUGUGUACAUACACAUAAGUAACAAAAAAAAUGCUUAAGUGUUAAAGAUGUAUUUACAUGUUGUUUUAAAUUAUGUGUAACUGUGGAUAUGCACAGCAUUAGGAGUGCAGGUGCCUGCAGAACCUGAGGCAUCAGAUUAUUCUGGUCUAAUGUUGUAGGCAACUGUGAGCCACUUAGUGUGGGUGCUGGAAACUGAGAUCAGGUUUUCCAGAAGAACAGCCCUUUGGCUCAUAGUCAGUGGUUUUCAAACAGCUGUCUGUAGAGUUAGAAGGAACAGAUGAUUACAGC
rnacentral:lncRNA from 1 species